rnacentral:pre_miRNA from 1 species
AUCACCUGGGAAUCUUAUUAAAAUGCAGAUUCUGAUUCAGUAGGUCUGAGAUGGGCCUAAGAUUCCGCAUUUCUAACAAGCUCCCAAGUAAUGCCAA